UCCAAAGAGAGACUCGGCAUCGGUGUGGUCGUAUGCUUGGGAUUCCUGAAUGUUUUAAUUCUGGCUGAACUCAUAGGCCUCAGUGUACACACUCAUGACAUGACAGCAGAUUUUUCUGACAUCGGCAACAUGCUGACCGAACAGAACAGCAAGUUUCUCUCCAUGAACGUUAACUUCACUGAAACGGCUCCACGAGCUGAAGAGACUUUAAGGACAGACAAACAUCAGUUGUUCCUGUUAAUCCAGGGGCUGCAGAGGAAGAGCAGAUCCAGUAGUGAUGGAUGAUUAGGAUUUGUGUUCACUGUGAUAUUAUUCAUCAAUAAUAAUGUAGCUUAUUAGUAUGCUGUUACAUAAAACCGUAAAGAUAAAUUGUACACUUCCAACUGACUUAUAAAGCAACA